rnacentral:rRNA from 1 species
GAAUAUUGCACAAUGGGGGAAACCCUGAUGCAGCGACGCCGCGUGAGUGAAGAAGUAUUUCGGUAUGUAAAGCUCUAUCAGCAGGGACGAUAAUGACGGUACCUGACUAAGAAGCCCCGGCUACCUACGUGCCAGCAGCCGCGGUAAUACGUAGGGGGCAAGCGUUAUCCGGAUUUACUGGGUGUAAAGGGAGCGUAGACGGUGAUGUAAGUCAGAUGUGAAAGCCCAGGGCUCAACCCUGGGACUGCAUUUGAAACUAUGUUGCUAGAGUGCAGGAGAGGUAAGUGGAAUUCCUAGUGUAGCGGUGAAAUGCGUAGAUAUUAGGAGGAAUACCAGUGGCGAAGGCGACUUUCUGGACUUAUACUGACGCUGAGGAACGAAAGCGUGGGGAGCAAACAGG